UCACCCUUUGCAUUUCCAUUGCAUUCCACCAUGCUCUUUUCCUCCCUCCCUCUCCUCUCUCUCUAAUUCUAAGGAGCUAUAUUAAAGAAGGCUAGCUAUGCUUCACUCAAACCAGUUGCUCAUCCAUCUUCUCUUUUCCUUCUCCUUCUACUUCUUCCAUCUCCUCCUGCAUUCUGCAAAAGAGUGGCUCGAUCUUCAUGAUAUAUAGCUCUUUUGUUUGUUCUUGGUGUCCAUGUUCGAGGGAGGGUGCCAGUCGUUGCAACAUUGCAGUUAUGUAUUUUGUGUUUUUUUUUUAAUUUUAUUUUGGUGAUAUUAAGGUUGGUCCAUUAGACGGCCUUGCGACGACGGGAUAUUGGGGCGGUUCAAUCAGAAAGCUUGUGCUCCGGAAGCGAGGAGCUCUACUCUUUUGAUUGAGCCGUGCCAAUAUCA
rnacentral:precursor_RNA from 1 species